CCUACGGGGGGCAGCAGUAAGGAAUAUUGGACAAUGGCGGAGACGCUGAUCCAGCUAUCCCGCGUGCAGGAUGACGGCCCUACGGGUUGUAAACUGCUUUAGACUGGGGCGAAAAAGUGGGAUUUAUCCUACAUUGACGGUACCAGUAAAAUAAGCACCGGCUAACUCCGUGCCAGCAGCCGCGGUAAUACGGAGGGUGCAGGCGUUAUCCGGAAUAACGGGUGCGUAAGGGUGUUGAGAAGUCUUGUUUGAAAGGCCAUGGCGCAACUAUGGGAUGGCUUUUGAUACUGGCGAGCUUGGAUUAGGACGAGGUUGGCGGAAUGUGGCAAGUAGCGGUGAAAUGCAUAGAUAUGCCAUAGAAUACCGAUUGCGAAGGCAGCUGACUAGACCUAUAUUGACGCUGAGGCACGAAAGCGUGGGGAGCGAACAGGAUUAGAUACCCUGGUAGUC
rnacentral:rRNA from 1 species